UGCCGGCUGAGAAAAGCUCUCUCCCAGGGGUCCUCUCAUGAAAUCAUGAUCCUCACUUCUGAAGGUUGCAAACCUUUGGCAUUUCUCUUCAAGGAUUUCCUUAACAAAUAGUCCUCGACCCUAGGGAGCAGCGCCCCUCUCAGCUCUGACACGCGCUAAUCCACCACCAGUCUGUACUUAAUAGAGUUGAACAAGGUGGGUGCAGCGGGGAACUGGCAAACCGGGCCUCUCCUUGGCCUACUUGGCAAGGCCACGUGCUAGCAUAUUAUCCUUAGACUGGACACUCAAGCAGCCAGCUCCCAUUACAGCUCCCCUAGGCAUCGCCGCCGCCCAGAACAUGCACACACGCGCUUACACUCGAGCACCCCAACGGGCUCACACAAGCACCUACACUUGCACGCCCACCUAGCCGAACCCACACCAUCGCCUAUUUCGGCUAAGAACAGGAGGGGCGGAGUGAUAGAGGUGAACAACGCUUGCAUUUCCUCUUUCUUCUCCACGCCCCGAGGCUCGGGUCCAAGCCCAGGUUUUGGAAUCCGCAUAGCCUUUCUGGCUGCUUUGUUGAGAGGGAGCGCGGUGGCAGUUUUUUUGUGUGUGCCUCCUUUCUCCAGACGGGUGGUCAGGCUUUUGCAGAGUUCCUUAGUGCCCUGGCGGCGAUGGAAGAUCCGAGUUCCCGAGCUGGAGGGUCAAACUCACACUGUGGCACGGUGCGGGGCACCUCACACCAACCAACAAGACACCGCGGACAAAUUCGGCAGCGGACAACACAGCAUCCAGGAAAGUCUCCACUAAAACCACCAGCGCUUUCCCGGUGGCUUUCUGUCCCUCGAAGUGAAAUAAUGAGGUUUUCAAGAAGUACCCGGCAGGAACCUGCGGCGGCGGUAAAGCGUCCAGGGACUGCCGGAUCGUGGAGAAAAAAAGCUUCCAUCCUCUUCACACUUUAAACUUAGCCGCUUCUGGGACUUCUCUGGAGGGCGGCGGAGUUGCACCAGCGCGGACCUGCAGAGACGAGCGAGCACUUCCAAAUAUUUUAGGAUGUGGGAGGUGACACCUUUUCCUUCAGGAUUGCCCCACUGUCACCCUUCCCUGAUUAGCUGAUAGGAACCUCUGAAGUCCAGGAGGUAGAGGUUUGCAGUUCCCUCUGGGGACCAAGUAUAGAGAGAUGUUGAACGAGAAAUCCAAAAACCUUGCAUCGUUGGACUAAGUAACUUUUGUCGCCCUACUGCUGGACCAAGGUAUAAAGCCGCUCCCACUGGGAUUCAUUUGCUAUGUUUUUGGUUUAGUCCAACAUUUCUGUGCGAUGGUAUACACCAAGAAGCAAAUGCUCAAUUUCAGAGGCAGUAGUAACGAGGAGCACAAGAGAGUACCCCUGGAUUUGAACAAUUUUAGAAGAGAAAAUGACCAAGCAUCAUGCACAAAAUACCCAAGUGUGCCUGAAGUUUGAGACUCAUUUCUCCUGUGAUACGUAAAUUUCAAAUCGAGCUGUAUAGCUAAAACUUAUGUGGAAUGGACAAAAGUGGAUUGUAUUCAAAGACAAAAAAGGUGGGGCAGUUUUUAAUCAGCAAAAGAAAAGGUUA